rnacentral:lncRNA from 1 species
GCAUUAACUGUCCACUCCACAAUCGUAUAGUAUCGAAAUAAGUAGGACCCACGUGCCUAACUAUACAAUUACAAACAAUUCGUCUAUAAAAGAGAGGUAAAUAAAUAGUGUGGGUAAGAUACUUCUAGGCUGAUACUCUGUCACUUUUGAUAUUUUACUUUUUAUUCGACCAUUCUUCACUGACUUAAGCAUCGAAAGAUCUCCGCUAGAUACAACUCCGAUCAGUGUGGACUUCUUUUGCAGAUAAUUUUCACCGGCAUCAAGCAUUCUAGAAAAUUGGCUGCAACAGAACUGAAAAUGAAACUCUUCCAUCUGUGAUCCAAACGGUCAAUACAAAGAACAUGAC